AUCUUCUCAUUGAGUUCCUUUCUGUCUGUUGAUGGCAGUUUAUGGAUUCGCACAAGAAAAAGAGAGAAUGCACAGAGCUAGUAUCAUUUUACAUUCUAUCUUUACAGAGGUAUAUUUGGCUGUUUUGUGAGACAUUC
rnacentral:snoRNA from 1 species